rnacentral:rRNA from 1 species
CAACGAAUAUUCCGCAAUGGGCGCAAGCCUGACGGAGCGACGCCGCGUGGGGGAUGAAGUCCUUCGGGAUGUAAACUCUGAUAGUGCGCCAGGAAGCAAGCCGGCCUAAUACGCCGGUAAGUUGACCAGCGUACGAAAGGGGCGGCUAACUCCGUGCCAGCAGCGGCGGUAAGACGGAGGCCCCGAGCGUUGUUCGGAAUCACUGGGUUUAAAGCGCGUGUAGGCGGAGUGGCAAGUACCGUGUGAAAUCCCCGGCUUCAACCCGGGAACUGCUUGGUAUACUGCCACCCUUGAGGCAGGUAGGGGUCGCUGGAACGUUAGGUGGAGCGGUGAAAUGCGUAGAUAUCUAACGGAACGCCUGUGGCGAAAGCGGGCGACUGGGCCUGUCCUGACGCUGAGACGCGAAAGCGUAGGGAGCAAACG